GCUAGGCCUGGAAGACCACGAGGACCGCUAGCGCCGUGGGGUCACUCUUCCUCAUGCCACAGGUUGCCGAGCCUCGGGGGAGAGGUGGGGUCCCAGGGGCCAACCCUUGGGUGUGUUGAUGGCGGCAGGCUAACCCAGCCAACGGGGUGCCACUGCCGGGCAAGUGACUGGCUACCAGACUCUGAAAAACCUAAGUCCUUUAGGGAAGACCACAAAAGCAUCCAACCACAGUCUGCGCUGCAGCCCGGCAGAACUAAGUCUUGGGCGCCGCGACGCCUUUCCUACGGAAUAGGUCCUGGAAGGAAGACCAUUUAAGGACUGGCGAGGAGAGCACGCCUUCCCUUCCGAAGGUGCGUUACCAGAUUGCUGCCGUUUUUGUGCUGGGUCAUCAGAGCAGAUUCCCCUCCAGGUUACAGAUUAAACUUAACUCUACCCGUGCUGAAAAUGGCCGGAGCACGCCGCCUCGCCUCCCCUCCCCAAGGCUGCCGGAGCCGCCGGCCCCUGCCUCCUUUUCGACGACUGAUCGUCCAAGGACUGGCGCCGGAUCCAACACCUUUCCCCAGCUCUGCGCGUACCGCGCUCUUUGGAAACGAAUUGGUCCCUGUCUGCUUCCAAGGGUCCCUGGAACCUUCUGCAGCUGUGCCUCUCCAGAGCUCCGCCUCAUUAGUGCCACGUUCCUGGUUUGAAAACCAUAGUACUUCAACCUCUUCUAGAUGGGAGUUAACCUUUGCCCUCUGAAAGAAAGGUUUGAUAAGCAAAGAGAGUUUGGUGAGCAAGAUCCUUGAGGUAAGAGCUGAUCUCUGACGUCCGCUGGGAACUGGCUGCUCUGCAGGUUUCUGUAUCACAUUUUCUGCACAUGUCCAUUAGAAUUGGAGAUGGGGCGUAUCUAGUGUUGAAUAAAGGCCCGGCAGGCCCUCCCAGAUGCACCCUGUC
rnacentral:lncRNA from 1 species